rnacentral:rRNA from 1 species
CCCCUAGAUGUUCUGGGCCGCACGCGCGCUACACUGAACAGUUCAACAAGUCUUAACCUUGGCCGAUAGGUCUGGGUAAUCUUUGAACGCUGUUCGUGAUUGGGAUAGACCUUUGCAAUUAUGGGUCUUCAACGAGGAAUUCCUAGUAAACGCAAGUCAUCAGCUUGCAUUGAUUACGUCCCUGCCCUUUGUACACACCGCCCGUCGCACCUACCGAUUGAAUGGUCCGGUGAAAUCUCGGGACGGCGGCUUGGUCGCUUGCGUCCGACUGCUGAAACUUGAUUAAACCAUAUCAUUUAGAGGAAGGUGAANUCGUAACA